AUUGAACGCUGGCGGCAUGCCUUACACAUGCAAGUCGAACGGUAACGGGCCUUCGGGUGCCGACGAGUGGCGAACGGGUGAGUAAUACAUCGGAACGUGCCCGAUCGUGGGGGAUAACGCGGCGAAAGCUUUGCUAAUACCGCAUACGAUCUACGGAUGAAAGCAGGGGACCGCAAGGCCUUGCGCGGACGGAGCGGCCGAUGGCGGAUUAGGUAGUUGGUGGGAUAAAAGCUUACCAAGCCGACGAUCUGUAGCUGGUCUGAGAGGAUGAUCAGCCACACUGGGACUGAGACACGGCCCAGACUCCUACGGGAGGCAGCAGUGGGGAAUUUUGGACAAUGGGCGCAAGCCUGAUCCAGCCAAGCCGCGUGCAGGAUGAAGGCCUUCGGGUUGUAAACUGCUUUUGUACGGGACGAAAAGCCUUCUUUUAAUACAGGAGGGUCAUGACGGUACCGUAAGAAUAAGCACCGGCUAACUACGUG
rnacentral:rRNA from 1 species